rnacentral:pre_miRNA from 1 species
CAAGUACUCCCUCCGUCCGGAAAUACUUGUCAUCAAAAUGGAUAAAAAAGAUGUAUCUAGAACUAAUAUACAUCUAGAUACAUCCCCUUUUAUUCAUUUUGAUGACAAGUAUUUCCGGACGGAGGGAGUACUAC